rnacentral:rRNA from 1 species
AUUGAACGCUGGCGGCAGGCCUAACACAUGCAAGUCGAGCGGAUGAAGGGAGCUUGCUCCUGGAUUCAGCGGCGGACGGGUGAGUAAUGCCUAGGAAUCUGCCUGGUAGUGGGGGAUAACGUCCGGAAACGGGCGCUAAUACCGCAUACGUCCUGAGGGAGAAAGUGGGGGAUCUUCGGACCUCACGCUAUCAGAUGAGCCUAGGUCGGAUUAGCUGGUUGGUGGGGUAAAGGCCUACCAAGGCGACGAUCCGUAACUGGUCUGAGAGGAUGAUCAGUCACACUGGAAGUGAGACACGGUCCAGACUCCUACGGGAGGCAGCAGUGGGGAAUAUUGGACGAUGGGCGAAAGCCUGAUCCAGCCAUGCCGCGUGUGUGAAGAAGGUCUUCGGAUUGUAAAGCACUUUAAGUUGGGAGGAAGGGCAGUAAGUUAAUACCUUGCUGUUUUGACGUUACCAACAGAAUAAGCACCGGCUAACUUCGUG